UACGUAGGGACCAAGCGUUGUUCGGAUUUACUGGGCGUAAAGGGCGCGUAGGCGGCUUAACAAGUCAGUUGUGAAAUCUCCGGGCUUAACUCGGAAAGGUCAACUGAUACUGUGCGACUAGAGUGCAGAAGGGGCAACUGGAAUUCUCGGUGUAGCGGUGAAAUGCGUAGAUAUCGAGAGGAACACCUGCGGCGAAGGCGGGUUGCUGGGCUGACACUGACGCUGAUGCGCGAAAGCCAGGGGAGCGAACGGG
rnacentral:rRNA from 1 species